rnacentral:lncRNA from 1 species
ACGUGUUCCGCCAGAUCGUUCCAUUGAAAAGUACAUCACUUACGUAGACGGCUUGUCACCACUGCCAAUCUGGGGCCUCCCGCGCGACCUUUCUGCCAUUGACGAAUCAGGAUUCGCUCGCAGAUACGCUAGAGCCAAGAGCUACGCCACAACGUCGUGGGUUUUGAUCAACUCGUUCGAAGAACUCGAGGGCAGUGCCACCUUCCAAGCCCUCCGAGACAUCUCUCCCAAAGCAAUCGCAGUGGGUCCUCUUUUCACCAUGGCCCCCGGCUGCAACAAGGCAAGCUUGUGGAAGGAAGACACCGAGAGUUUAUCCUGGCUCGGCAAGCAAAGUCCCGGCUCGGUUCUCUACAUUUCCUUGGGCAGCAUCGCGACCCUCAGCUUCGAUCAGUUCAAGGAGUUCUCCGAGGGACUGAGGCUUCUCCAGCGUCCGUUUAUCUGGGCCAUCCGACCCAAGUCGGUCGCCGGCAUGGAGCCCGAGUUCCUGGAGCGUUUCAAGGAGGCCGUGAGGAGCUUUGGACUGGUUGUGAGCUGGGCUCCUCAGGUGGACAUCCUCCGCCACCCUUCCACGGCUGGAUUUCUCAGUCACUGCGGCUGGAACUCCAUCCUCGAGAGCGUAGCAUCCGCGGUGCCCAUGCUUUGCUGGCCGUGCGUCGCGGAGCAGAAUCUAAACUGCAAGUUGAUAGUGGAGGACUGGAAGAUCGGUCUCAAGUUCUCGUGCGUGACCAUGCCGGAUCCUCCCGAGGUGAUGGCGAGGGACGAGUUUGUGGAGGUGGUGGAGCGAUUCAUGGGAACUGACAGUGAGCAUUUGAGGAUUAACGUGAAGAAGCUGAGCGAGGAGGCUCGUAGAGCAGUGUCUAGUGGUGGCUCCUCAUAUGAAAACCUGGAGAGAUUUGCUCAAGCAGUGAAAAUUUCCUAAACUUCAAUCCAAAGCUAAGAGAAAACUUCAAAGCAUCUACUCUAUUCAAGAAUAUACUACAGUUCUUUCUCUCUCUCUCUGAAGAUAAGCACGCGCUUUGCGCGUAUAAUGGGUUCCAAGGUCAAUGUUGUCGCAAUUCCUCUCCCAGCUCAAGGCCACAUCUCUCCACUCUUGCAUCUCUGCCAAGCUCUCACUUUCAUCCUUUGGGGGAUGCUAUCUCCAAAACACGCAACCAUGAGGGAAUGUGCUGGACUUUGUUACGUGCAAAAACCCAUGGCUAAUGUGCUAAUGUAGACUCUAAGGUGAUGCUUUAUAUCAGAAACUGAUGUGAGGAGAAGAAACUAAAGAAAAACAAAGAAAAAAUAAUAAUAAGAAAGAGAGUGUAAAGUUCUGGAGUCAAAGGGGAACCACAUGGGGAAACUUGAUAAAAGAAUUAAACACUAAAAAAUGGAAAAACAAAAAGUGAAAAAAACUAAAGAGCAAAGAACAGCUUAAAGAAAUACUAGCAAGAUUGGAAGAGCUCUAGAGGCCAGUUAGAAUGGCCAUUUGUCUCAAGUUGGUCCCUGGCAUAGAGCCCGAGUUCCUGGAGGCUUUCAAGGCUCUCCUUGCAAGUGAUCAGCUUUGGACAGGUUGUGAGCUGGGCUCCUCAACUGGAAAUCCUCCAGCAUCCUUCCACAGGCUGCGAGAGUGUAUCUUCAGCGGUGCCAAUCCUUUGCUGGCCAUGAGUUGCCAAGCAGAAUCUCAACUGCAAGCUUAUAGUGGAAGACUGGAAGAUCGAUCUUAAGUUCCCGCCCAUGAGAGAUCCUCGCAAGGUUUAGAUGUAAUGUGAAGGAGCUCAGCGAGGCUGCUCAGGGAGCAACAGUGAAAGAAGGCAGGAUCUUCAUAUGAAAGUUUGGACAAGUUUGUCAAGUUUCAUAAGGUAACUUAUAUCCAAUGCCGCAGCUGGUGGCAGGAGGAUCAUCGGGCAUGAGGGCGGGGCCAAUGCACAGACAGACCAACCACCAAGAGCACAUAAAGAUGAUACUUGAAAGUGUAUAGGUUGGUGGAAGUGUUAUUUUCCUUCCCAAAGAAAUAGAUGGCGUAAUCAAGAGGAGUAAAACAUUCCUGAAGGAGAACACUAGAUUAAAACAUUUGCAAAACGCACUGAUUCUUAAGCUCAGCCUUGGAGCGAUUUGAAGCUUAUCCAGAAAAGGUAUUGUGAGAAACGGCAGCACCUUCCAGAGCACUCACGAAGUAAGCUUGAAUUUUCUUUGUUCUUCGUCAAUGGGUUCUUCUACUGGUGCCGAGGGGCUCGCUCCUCAUGCAGCGGUUCUUCCCGUUCCAACCCAAGGCCACAUCACUCCAUUCCUCCAUCUCUCCAGAGCGCUGGCGUCGCGAGGCUUCGUCAUAACUUUCAUCAACACGGAGGCCAACCACAGGGACUUGAAGGACAUCGUUUCGCAGGAGGAGAGCUUUGGCUAUGGCGGCGGCAUUCGCUUCGAGACGGUCCCGGGCAUCCAAGCGAGCGACGUCGACUUCGCGGUCCCGGAGAAGCGGGGGAUGUUGUCCGAGGCAGUGAUGGAGAUGCAAGCUCCAGUGGAAAGCUUGCUCAUCAGGAACAUGGCCAGAGACGAUGAUCUCGUUCCUCCGGUCUCGUGCUUCAUCUCGGAUAUGUUCCCGUGGUCCGCGGAAGUAGCAAGAAGGACUGGAAUCCCAGAGGUCAAGUUCUGGACCGCCAGUGCCUCUUGCGUUUUGCUCGAUUGCUCGUUUCCGCGAAUGCUGGAGAAGGGAGACGUUCCAGUCCAAGGUAAAGCUUCUUUCUUCUUUUUUAUUUGUCCUUCACUAACGUGUUCCGCCAGAUCGUUCCAUUGAAAAGUACAUCACUUACGUAGACGGCUUGUCACCACUGCCAAUCUGGGGCCUCCCGCGCGACCUUUCUGCCAUUGACGAAUCAAGAUUCGCUCGCAGAUACGCUAGAGCCAAGAGCUACGCCACAACGUCGUGGGUUUUGGUCAACUCGUUCGAAGAACUCGAGGGCAGUGCCACCUUCCAAGCCCUCCGAGACAUCUCUCCCAAAGCAAUCGCAGUGGGUCCUCUUUUCACCAUGGUCCCCGGCUCCAACAAGGCAAGCUUGUGGAAGGAAGACACCGAGAGUUUAUCCUGGCUCGGCAAGCAAAGUCCCGGCUCGGUUCUCUACAUUUCCUUGGGCAGCAUGGCGACUCUCAGCUUCGAUCAGUUCAAGGAGUUCUCCGAGGGACUGACGCUUCUCCAGCGUCCGUUUAUCUGGGCCAUCCGACCCAAGUCGGUCGCCGGCAUGGAGCCCGAGUUCCUGGAGCGUUUCAAGGAGGCCGUGAGGAGCUUUGGACUGGUUGUGAGCUGGGCUCCUCAGGUGGACAUCCUCCGCCACCCUUCCACGGCUGGAUUUCUCAGUCACUGCGGCUGGAACUCCAUCCUCGAGAGCGUAGCAUCCGCGGUGCCCAUGCUUUGCUGGCCGUGCGUCGCGGAGCAGAAUCUAAACUGCAAGUUGAUAGUGGAGGACUGGAAGAUCGGUCUCAAGUUCUCGUGCGUGACCAUGCUGGAUCCUCCCGAGGUGAUGGCGAGGGACGAGUUUGUGGAGGUGGUGGAGCGAUUCAUGGGAACUGACAGUGAGCAUUUGAGGAUUAACGUGAAGAAGCUGAGCGAGGAGGCUCGUAGAGCAGUGUCUAGUGGUGGCUCCUCGUAUGAAAACCUGGAGAGAUUUGCUCAAGCAGUGAAAAUUUCCUAAACUUCAAUCCACGGCUAAGAGAAAACUUCAAAGCAUCUACUCUACUCAAGAAUAUACUACUCUUUCUCUCUCUCUCUGAAGAUAAGCACGCGCUUUGCGCGUAUAAUGGGUUCCAAGAUCAAUGUUGUGGCGAUUCCUUUCCCCUCUCCACUCUUGCAUCUCUGCCAAGCUCUCACUUUCAUCCUUUGGGGGAUGCUAUCUCGAAAACACGCAACCACGAGGGAAUGUGUUAGACUUUGUCAUGUGCAAGAACCCAUGGCUAAUGUGUUAAUGUAGACUCCAAGGUGAUGCCUUAUGUCAGAAACUGCUGCGAGGAAAAGAAACUAAAGAAAAACAAAGAAAAAAUAAUAAGUGUAAAGUUCUGGAGUUAAAAAGGAAUCACAUGAGGAAACUUGAUAAAAGAAUUAAACACUAAAAAAUGAAAAAACAAAGUGAAAAAAGCUGAAGAGUAAGGAACAGCUUAUAGAAAUACUAACAAGAUUGGAAGAGCUCUAGAGGCCAGUUAUAAUGGCCAUUUGUCUCAAGUUGGUCCCUGGCAUAGAGCCCGAGUUCCUGGAGGCUUUCAAGGCUCUCCUUGAAAGUGAUCAGCUUUGGAUUGGUUGUGAGCUGGGCUCCUCAACUGGAAAUCCUCCAGCAUCUUUCCACAAGCUGCGAGAGUGUAUCUUCAGCAGUGCCAAUCCUUUGCUGGCCAUGAGUUGCCAAGCAGAAUCUCAACUGCAAGCUUAUAGUGGAAGACUGGAAGAUCGAUCUUAAGUUCUCGCCCAUGAGAUAUCCUCGCAAGGUGGUGGCAGGGACGAGUUUGUGGAGGUGGUGGAGCAACUCAUGGGAGCUGCGAGUGGCAAUUCCUUUAGAUGUAAUGUGAAGGAGCUCAGCGAGGCUGCUCAGGGAGCAACAGUGAAAGAAGGCAGGAUCUUCAUAUGAAAGUUUGGACAAGUUCGUCAAGUUUCAUAAGGUAAUUUAUAUCCAAUGCCGCAGCUGGUGGCAGGACGAUCAUCGGGCAUGAGGGCGGGGCCAAUGCACAGACAGACCAACCACCAAGAGCACAUAAAGAUGAUACUUGAAAGUGUAUAGGUUGGUGGAAGUGUUAUUUUCCUUCCCAAAGAAAUAGAUGGCGUAAUCAAGAGGAGUAAAACAUUCCUGAAGGAGAACACUAGAUUAAAACCUUUGCAAAACGCACUGAUUCUUAAGCUCAGCCUUGGAGCGAUUUCAAGCUUAUCCAGAAAAGGUAUUGUGAGAAACGGCAGCACCUUCCAGAGCACUCACGAAGUAAGCUUGAAUUUUCUUUGUUCUUCGUCAAUGGGUUCUUCUACUGGUGCCGAGGGGCUCGCUCCUCACGCAGCGGUUCUUCCCAUUCCAACGCUACGCCACAUCACUCCAUUCCUCCAUCUCUCCAGAGCUCUGGCCUCGCGAGGCUUCGUCAUAACUUUCAUCAACACGGAGGGCAACCACAGGGACUUGAAGGACAUCGUUUCACAGGAGGAGAGCUUUGGCUAUGGCGGCGGCAUUCGCUUCGAGACGGUCCCGGGCAUCCAAGCGAGCGACGUCGACUUCGCGGUCCCGGAGAAGCGGGGGAUGUUGUCCGAGGCAGUGAUGGAGAUGCAGGCUCCAGUGGAAAGCUUGCUCAUCAGGAACAUGGCCAGAGACGAUGAUCUCGUUCCUCCGGUCUCGUGCUUCAUCUCGGAUAUGUUCCCGUGGUCCGCGGAAGUAGCAAGAAGGACUGGAAUCCCAGAGGUCAAGUUCUGGAUCGCCAGUGCCUCUUGCGUUUUGCUCGAUUGCUCGUUUCCGCGAAUGCUGGAGAAGGGAGACGUUCCAGUCCAAGGUAAAGCUUCUUUCUUCUUUUUUAUUUGUCCUUCUUUCGAGAAGCACUAACGUGUUCCGCCAGAUCGUUCCAUUGAAAAGUACAUCACUUACGUAGACGGCUUGUCACCACUGCCAAUCUGGGGCCUCCCGCGCGACCUUUCUGCCAUUGACGAAUCAAGAUUCGCUGGCAGAUACGCUAGAGCCAAGAGCUUCGCCACAACGUCGUGGGUUUUGGUCAACUCGUUCGAAGAACUCGAGGGCAGUGCCACCUUCCAAGCCCUCCGAGACAUCUCUCCCAAAGCAAUCGCUGUGGGUCCUCUUUUCACCAUGGCCCCCGGCUGCAACAAGGCAAGCUUGUGGAAGGAAGACACCGAGAGUUUAUCCUGGCUCGGCAAGCAAAGUCCCGGCUCGGUUCUCUACAUUUCCUUGGGCACCAUCGCGACUCUCAGCUUCGAUCAGUUCAAGGAGUUCUCCGAGGGACUGAGGCUUCUCCAGCGUCCGUUUAUCUGGGCCAUCCGACCCAAGUCGGUCGCCGGCAUGGAGCCCGAGUUCCUGGAGCGUUUCAAGGAGGCCGUGAGGAGCUUUGGACUGGUUGUGAGCCGGGCUCCUCAGGUGGACAUCCUCCGCCACCCUUCCACGGCUGGAUUUCUCAGUCACUGCGGCUGGAACUCCAUCCUCGAGAGCGUAGCAUCCGCGGUGCCCAUGCUUUGCUGGCCGUGCGUCGCGGAGCAGAAUCUAAACUGCAAGUUGAUAGUGGAGGACUGGAAGAUCGGUCUCAAGUUCUCGUGCGUGACCAUGCCGGAUCCUCCCGAGGUGAUGGCGAGGGACGAGUUUGUGGAGGUGGUGGAGCGAUUCAUGGGAACUGACAGUGAGCAUUUGAGGAUUAACGUGAAGAAGCUGAGCGAGGAGGCUCGUAGAGCAGUGUCUAGUGGUGGCUCCUCAUAUGAAAACCUGGAGAGAUUUGCUCAAGCAGUGAAAAUUUCCUAAACUUCAAUCCAAAGCUAAGAGAAAACUUCAAAGCAUCUACUCUAUUCAAGAAUAUACUACAGUUCUUUCUCUCUCUCUCUGAAGAUAAGCACGCGCUUUGCGCGUAUAAUGGGUUCCAAGGUCAAUGUUGUCGCAAUUCCUCUCCCAGCUCAAGGCCACAUCUCUCCACUCUUGCAUCUCUGCCAAGCUCUCACUUUCAUCCUUUGGGGGAUGCUAUCUCCGAAACACACAACCAUGAGGGAAUGUGCUGGACUUUGUCACGUGCAAGAACCCAUGGCCAAUGUGCUAGUGUAGACUCCAAGGUGAUGCCUUAUGUCAGAAACUGAUGCAAAAAGAAGAAACUAAAGAAAAACAAAAAAAAUAAUAAUAAGAAGAAAGAGAGUGUAAAGUUCUGGAGUCAAAAGGGAACCAUAUGAGGAAAUUUGAUAAAAGAACUAAACACUAAAAAAUGGAAAAACAAAAAGUGAAAAAAACUAAAGAGCAAGGAACAGCUUAAAGAAGAGCUCUAGAGGCCAGUUAUAAUGGCCAUUUGUCUCAAGUUGGUCCCUGGCAUAGAGCCUGAGUUCCUGGAGGCUUUCAAGGCUCUCCUUGAAAGUGAUCAGCUUUGGACUGGUUGUGAGCUGGGCUCCUCAACCGGAAAUCCUCCAGCAUCCUUCCACAGGCUGCGAGAGUGUAUCUUCAGCAGUGCCAAUCCUUUGCUGGUCAUGAGUUGCCGAGCAGAAUCUCAACUGCAAGCUUAUAGUGGAAAACUGGAAGAUCGAUCUUAAGUUCUCACCCAUGAGAGAUCCUUGCAAGGUGGUGGCAGGGAUGAGUUUGUGGAGGUGGUGGAGCAACUCAUGGGAGCUGAGAGUGGCGAUUCCUUUAGAUGUAAUGUGAAGGAGCUCAGCGAGGCUGCUCAGGGAGCAACAGUGAAAGAAGUCAAGAUCUUCAUAUGAAAGUUUGGACAAGUUUGUCAAGUUUCAUAAGGUAAUUUAUAUCCAAUGCCGCAGCUGGUGGCAGGACGAUCAUCGGGCAUGAGGGCGGGGCCAAUGCACAGACAGACCAACCACCAAGAGCACAUAAAGAUGAUACUUGAAAGUGUAUAGGUUGGUGGAAGUGUUAUUUUCCUUCCCAAAGAAAUAGAUGGCGUAAUCAAGAGGAGUAAAACAUUCCUGAAGGAGAACACUAGAUUAAAACCUUUGCAAAACGCACUGAUUCUUAAGCUCAGCCUUGGAGCGAUUUCAAGCUUAUCCAGAAAAGGUAUUGUGAGAAACGGCAGCACCUUCCAGAGCACUCACGAAGUAAGCUUGAAUUUUCUUUGUUCUUCGUCAAUGGGUUCUUCUACUGGUGCCGAGGGGCUCGCUCCUCACGCAGCGGUUCUUCCCAUUCCAACGCUACGCCACAUCACUCCAUUCCUCCAUCUCUCCAGAGCUCUGGCCUCGCGAGGCUUCGUCAUAACUUUCAUCAACACGGAGGGCAACCACAGGGACCUGAAGGACAUCGUUUCACAGGAGGAGAGCUUUGGCUAUGGCGGCGGCAUUCGCUUCGAGACGGUCCCGGGCAUCCAAGCGAGCGACGUCGACUUCGCGGUCCCGGAGAAGCGGGGGAUGUUCUCCGAGGCAGUGAUGGAGAUGCAGGCUCCAGUGGAAAGCUUGCUCAUCAGGAACAUGGCCAGAGACGAUGAUCUCGUUCCUCCGGUCUCGUGCUUCAUCUCGGAUAUGUUCCCGUGGUCCGCGGAAGUAGCAAGAAGGACUGGAAUCCCAGAGGUCAAGUUCUGGAUCGCCAGUGCCUCUUGCGUUUUGCUCGAUUGCUCGUUUCCGCGAAUGCUGGAGAAGGGAGACGUUCCAGUCCAAGGUAAAGCUUCUUUCUUCUUUUUUAUUUGUCCUUCUUUCGAGAAGCACUAACGUGUUCCGCCAGAUCGUUCCAUUGAAAAGUACAUCACUUACGUAGACGGCUUGUCACCACUGCCAAUCUGGGGCCUCCCGCGCGACCUUUCUGCCAUUGACGAAUCAAGAUUCGCUGGCAGAUACGCUAGAGCCAAGAGCUUCGCCACAACGUCGUGGGUUUUGGUCAACUCGUUCGAAGAACUCGAGGGCAGUGCCACCUUCCAAGCCCUCCGAGACAUCUCUCCCAAAGCAAUCGCUGUGGGUCCUCUUUUCACCAUGGCCCCCGGCUGCAACAAGGCAAGCUUGUGGAAGGAAGACACCGAGAGUUUAUCCUGGCUCGGCAAGCAAAGUCCCGGCUCGGUUCUCUACAUUUCCUUGGGCACCAUCGCGACUCUCAGCUUCGAUCAGUUCAAGGAGUUCUCCGAGGGACUGAGGCUUCUCCAGCGUCCGUUUAUCUGGGCCAUCCGACCCAAGUCGGUCGCCGGCAUGGAGCCCGAGUUCCUGGAGCGUUUCAAGGAGGCCGUGAGGAGCUUUGGACUGGUUGUGAGCCGGGCUCCUCAGGUGGACAUCCUCCGCCACCCUUCCACGGCUGGAUUUCUCAGUCACUGCGGCUGGAACUCCAUCCUCGAGAGCGUAGCAUCCGCGGUGCCCAUGCUUUGCUGGCCGUGCGUCGCGGAGCAGAAUCUAAACUGCAAGUUGAUAGUGGAGGACUGGAAGAUCGGUCUCAAGUUCUCGUGCGUGACCAUGCCGGAUCCUCCCGAGGUGAUGGCGAGGGACGAGUUUGUGGAGGUGGUGGAGCGAUUCAUGGGAACUGACAGUGAGCAUUUGAGGAUUAACGUGAAGAAGCUGAGCGAGGAGGCUCGUAGAGCAGUGUCUAGUGGUGGCUCCUCAUAUGAAAACCUGGAGAGAUUUGCUCAAGCAGUGAAAAUUUCCUAAACUUCAAUCCAAAGCUAAGAGAAAACUUCAAAGCAUCUACUCUAUUCAAGAAUAUACUACAGUUCUUUCUCUCUUUCUCUGAAGAUAAGCACGCGCUUUGCGCGUAUAAUGGGUUCCAAGGUCAAUGUUGUCGCAAUUCCUCUCCCAGCUCAAGGCCACAUCUCUCCACUCUUGCAUCUCUGCCAAGCUCUCACUUUCAUCCUUUGGGGGAUGCUAUCUCCAAAACACACAACCAUGAGGGAAUGUGCUGGACUUUGUCACGUGCAAGAACCCAUGGCCAAUGUGCUAGUGUAGACUCCAAGGUGAUGCCUUAUGUCAGAAACUGAUGCAAAAAGAAGAAACUAAAGAAAAACAAAAAAAAUAAUAAUAAGAAGAAAGAGAGUGUAAAGUUCUGGAGUCAAAAGGGAACCAUAUGAGGAAAUUUGAUAAAAGAACUAAACACUAAAAAAUGGAAAAACAAAAAGUGAAAAAAACUAAAGAGCAAGGAACAGCUUAAAGAAGAGCUCUAGAGGCCAGUUAUAAUGGCCAUUUGUCUCAAGUUGGUCCCUGGCAUAGAGCCUGAGUUCCUGGAGGCUUUCAAGGCUCUCCUUGAAAGUGAUCAGCUUUGGACUGGUUGUGAGCUGGGCUCCUCAACCGGAAAUCCUCCAGCAUCCUUCCACAGGCUGCGAGAGUGUAUCUUCAGCAGUGCCAAUCCUUUGCUGGUCAUGAGUUGCCGAGCAGAAUCUCAACUGCAAGCUUAUAGUGGAAAACUGGAAGAUCGAUCUUAAGUUCUCACCCAUGAGAGAUCCUUGCAAGGUGGUGGCAGGGACGAGUUUGUGGAGGUGGUGGAGCAGCUCAUGGGAGCUGAGAAUGGCGAUUCCUUUAGAUGUAAUGUGAAGGAGCUCAGCGAGGCUGCUCAGGGAGCAACAGUGAAAGAAGGCAGGAUCUUCAUAUGAAAGUUUGGACAAGUUCGUCAAGUUUCAUAAGGUAAUUUAUAUCCAAUGCCGCAGCUGGUGGCAGGACGAUCAUCGGGUAUGAGGGCGGGGCCAAUGCACAGACAGACCAACCACCAAGAGCACAUAAAGAUGAUACUUGAAAGUGUAUAGGUUGGUGGAAGUGUUAUUUUCCUUCCCAAAGAAAUAGAUGGCAUAAUCAAGAGGACUAAAAAAUUCCUGAAGGAGAACACUAGAAUAAAACCUUUGCAAAACGCACUGAUUCUUAAGCUCAGCCUUGGAGCCAGAAAGAAACGGCAGCACCUUCAUGAAGUAAGCUUGAAUUUCCUUUGUUCUUCGUCAAUGGGUUCUUCUACUGGUGCCGAGGGGCUCGCUCCUCACGCAGCGGUUCUUCCCAUUCCAACUCUAGGCCACAUCACUCCAUUCCUCCAUCUCUCUAGAGCUCUGGCCUCGCGAGGCUUCGUCAUAACUUUUAUCAACACGGAGGGCAACCACAGGGACUUGAAGGACAUCGUUUCACAGGAGGAGAGCUUUGGCUCUGGUGGCAGCAUUCGUUUCGAGACGGUCCCCGGGGUCCAAACGAGCGAGGCCGACUUCACGGCCCCGGAGACGCGGCCAAUGUUCUUCGAGGCAUUGAUGGCGAUGCAGGGUCCAGUGGAGAGCUUGCUCGUCAGGAGCAUGGCAAGAGACGAUGAUCUCGUUCCUCCGGUCUCAUGCUUCAUCUCGGAUAUGUUGUUCCCGUGGUCCACGGAAGUACCCAGAAGGAUCGGAAUCCCAGAGGUCAAGUUCUGGGUCGCCAGUGCUUCUUGCGUUUUGCUCUACUCCUCGUAUCCCCAAAUGCUGGAGAAGGGAGACAUUCCAGUCCAAGGUAAAGCUGCUUUCUUCUUUUUUAUUUUUCCUUCUUUCGAGAAGCACUGACGUCCAUAUACGUGUUCCACCAGAUCGUUCCAUUGAGAAGCGCAUAACUUACGUAGACGGCUUGUCACCACUACCAAUGUGGAGCCUCCCGGGCGACUUUUCUGCCAGUGACGACGACCCGGGAUUCGCUCGCGGAUACGCCAGAGCCAAGAGCUUCGCCACAACGUCGUGGGUUUUGGUCAACUCGUUCGAAGAACUCGAGGGCAGUGCCACCUUCCAAGCUCUCCGAGACAUCUCUCCCAAAGCAAUCGCAGUGGGUCCACUUUCCACCAUGGUCCCCGGCUCCAGCAAUGCAAGCUUGUGGACGGA